CACGUAGGGCGCAAGCGUUGUCCGGAAUUAUUGGGCGUAAAGAGCUCGUAGGCGGUCUGUUGCGUCCGCUGUGAAAACUCGGGGCUUAACCCCGAGCCUGCAGUGGAUACGGGCAGACUAGAGUUCGGCAGGGGAGACUGGAAUUCCUGGUGUAGCGGUGAAAUGCGCAGAUAUCAGGAGGAACACCGGUGGCGAAGGCGGGUCUCUGGGCCGAUACUGACGCUGAGGAGCGAAAGCGUGGGGAGCGAACAGG
rnacentral:rRNA from 1 species